UACGAAGGGGCUAGCGUUGCUCGGAAUCACUGGGCGUAAAGCGCACGUAGGCGGACUCUUAAGUCAGGGGUGAAAUCCUGGAGCUCAACUCCAGAACUGCCUUUGAUACUGGGAGUCUUGAGUUCGGGAGAGGUGAGUGGGAACUGCGAGUGUAGAGGUGAAAUUCGUAGAUAUUCGCAAGAACACCAGUGGCGAAGGCGGCUCACUGGCCCGAUACUGACGCUGAGGUGCGAAAGCGAUGGGGAG
rnacentral:rRNA from 1 species